rnacentral:rRNA from 1 species
AGAGUUUGAUCAUGGCUCAGAUUGAACGCUGGCGGUAGGCUUAACACAUGCAAGUCGAGCGAGAAAGUAUCUUCGGAUAUGAGUAGAGCGGCGGACGGGUGAGUAACGCGUAGGAAUCUACCUAGUAGAAGGGGAUAGCCCGGGGAAACUCGGAUUAAUACCGUAUACCUCCUAAGGGAGAAAGAGGGCCUCUCUUGAAGCUCUCGCUACUAGAUGAGCCUGCGUAAGAUUAGCUUGUUGGUAAGGUAAUGGCUUACCAAGGCUACGAUCUUUAGCUGGUCUGAGAGGACGAUCAGCCACAUUGGGACUGAGACACGGCCCAGACUCCUACGGGAGGCAGCAGUGGGGAAUAUUGGACAAUGGGCGCAAGCCUGAUCCAGCCAUACCGCGUGUGUGAAGAAGGCCUUCGGGUUGUAAAGCACUUUAAGCAGGGAGAAAAAGUUUUAAGUUAAUACCUUAUAACCGUGAUGUUACCUGCAGAAUAAGCACCGGCUAAUUCCGUGCCAGCAGCCGCGGUAAUACGGAAGGUGCAAGCGUUAAUCGGAAUUACUGGGCGUAAAGCGCGCGUAGGUGGUUUGUUAAGUUGGAUGUGAAAGCCCUGGGCUCAACCUAGGAACUGCAUCCAAAACUAACUCACUAGAGUACGAUAGAGGGAGGUAGAAUUCAUAGUGUAGCGGUGGAAUGCGUAGAUAUUAUGAAGAAUACCAGUGGCGAAGGCGGCCUCCUGGAUCUGUACUGACACUGAGGUGCGAAAGCGUGGGUAGCGAACAGGAUUAGAUACCCUGGUAGUCCACGCCGUAAACGAUGACAACUAGCUGUUGGGAGACAAUGUCUUUCAGUGGCGCAGCUAACGUUUUAAGUUGUCCGCCUGGGGAGUACGGCCGCAAGGCUAAAACUCAAAUGAAUUGACGGGGACCC